rnacentral:rRNA from 1 species
AGAGUUUGAUCAUGGCUCAGGAUGAACGCUAGCUACAGGCUUAACACAUGCAAGUCGAGGGGAAACGACAUCGAAAGCUUGCUUUUGAUGGGCGUCGACCGGCGCACGGGUGAGUAACGCGUAUCCAACCUGCCCAUCACUUGGGGAUAACCUUGCGAAAGUAAGACUAAUACCCAAUGACGUCUCUAGAAGACAUCUGAAAGAGAUUAAAGAUUUAUCGGUGAUGGAUGGGGAUGCGUCUGAUUAGCUUGUUGGCGGGGUAACGCCACAAGGCGACGAUCAGGUAGGGGUUCUGGAGAGGAACGGUCCCCCACAUUGGAACUGAGACACGGUCCAAACUCCUACGGGAGCA